UGAAUACGAGACGCUAAGGCGUCGAAGUAGUGUAUGUCAUACUUCCAAGAAAAGCUUGCACUGUCAUAGAUAAAAAACGCCUGUACCAUAACCGACACAGGUGGGUAGGUAGAGUAUACUAAGGGGCGCGAGAUAACUCUCUCUAAGGAACUCGGCAAAAUAACUCCGUAACUUCGGGAGAAGGAGUGCCUUAUUCGUAGGUUGCAAUAACAAGAUCCAAGCAACUGUUUAUCAAAAACACAGGUCUCCGCUAAGUCGUAAGACGAUGUAUGGGGGCUGACGCCUGCCCAGUGCCAGAAGGUUAAAGAAGUUGGUUAGCAAUUGCGAAGCUGAUAACUGAAGCCCUGGUGAACGGCGGCCGUAACAAUAACGGUCCUAAGGUAGCGAAAUUCCUUGUCGGGUAAGUUCCGACCCGCACGAAAGGCGUAAUGAUUUGGAUACUGUCUCGGAGAGGGGCUCGGUGAAAUAGACUUGUCUGUGAAGAUGCGGACUACCUGCACCAGGACAGAAAGACCCUAUGAAGCUUUACUGUAACUUGAAAUUGAAAUUGGACUUUAUUCGCGCAGUAUAGGUGGGAGGCGUUGAUUAUAAUCUUGUGGGAUUAUUGGAGCCAUCAGUGAGAUACCACUCUUGUAAUGUUAGAUUUCUAACUUUGAAUCAUUAUCUGGUCAAAGAACAGUUUCAGGCGGGCAGUUUGACUGGGGCGGUCGCCUCCUAAACGGUAACGGAGGCGUACAAAGGUUUCCUCUGAACGGUUAGAAAUCGUAUCUAGAGUGUAAAGGCAUAAGGAAGCUUGACUGUGAGACCUACAAGUCGAGCAGGGACGAAAGUCGGUCUUAGUGAUCUGACGGUACUGAGUGGAAAGGCCGUCACUCAACGGAUAAAAGUUACUCUAAGGAUAACAGGCUGAUCUCCCCCAAGAGUUCACAUCGACGGGGAGGUUUGGCACCUCGAUGUCGGCUCAUCGCAUCCUGGGGCGGUAGUACGUCCCAAGGGUUGGGCUGUUCGCCCAUGAAAGCGGUACGCGAGCUGGGUUCAGAACGUCGUGAGACAGUUCGGUCCAUAUCCGGUGUAGGCGUUAGAAUAUUGAGAGGAGCCUUCUUUAGUACGAGAGGACCGAGAAGGACAUACCUCUGGUGUACCAGUUAUCGUGCCAACGGUAAACGCUGGGUAGCUAUGUAUGGAGUGGAUAACCGCUGAAAGCAUCUAAGUGGGAAGCCCACCUCAAGAUAAGUAUUCUCAUCA
rnacentral:rRNA from 1 species